AACUUUUAAUUUGAUUAUUUUGAAUAUUUAAGAUUUGUAAAAUACAAACAGAUACAAUUUAUAAAUAUUAUGUUUUUUUCAUCUUAACAAAAUAUUACUUACGACUCCACCAUAAAAUCAACACUCUAUUUAUCUACCACUUGUAGAGCAAGUUGUUCAUUUCUUUGGUCCAUACAUAAUUGCAAUCCGUAUAUGUAUCCCCUCACACCUCUAAUUAUUUAUGCAUUCAAAUCUUAUUAUAAAUAGAGCCCAAAAAUGCAUUAGUUUCUUCAUCCCUCAAUUUUCAUAUUUCAUAAGUACUAAGUUUUGAACAAAAGAAAAAUUAAAAAGAAUGGGUUCCAAGGCAAUUAUGUUUCUUGGUCUUUUUUUGGCUAUUUUCUUAAUGAUAAGCUCUGAGGUUGCAGCUAGGGAGUUGGCAGCUGAGACUUCCAAUGCGGUAAACGUUGAUGGACAUUAUUAUGGCGGUGGCUAUCACGAGGGCUAUGGAAAACCUAAGAAAUGUCAUAGUUGCUGCAAAAAAUACAAUAUGGAUGCAUAAAAUACUGCUGCUCUUAUGAAGAAUAUGUGGCUGCCCAGACUCACAACUAAAUAAUUAAUUGUGUGUAUUAUUAUUGUAAACUUUUGAAAUUAAGUGACAAGAUAAUAAUAAUCUUGUUACUUAAGACCCUUUGCUUGUAACAAGUAUGAAUAAAGCCAUUCAUUUACUAUGAAUGGUUGGUCAUGAUGUAAUGUUUUGUUGUACAAUAUAUCAUAUUGUGUUAAAAAAUGUUUCCCUAAUGUUAAGAUUUUCUUCUUAUUUUUA